GCUUGACUGUAGCUUGUAAUUGGGUUCGGGCUUUUUUUGCGCAGCCUAGGUGGGAGGCAACGAUGAUUUUUUCCGGAAAAAUUUGAGCCGUUAGUGAGAGACCACUCUGAAAAGGCUAGAAUCCUAAUAAUGAUCCUUGAAUCAGGACAUUUGACAGUUGCAGGUGGGCAGUUUUACUGGGGCGGUAUUCUCCUAAAAAGUAACGGAGGGGUGCAAAGGUUCCCUCAAGCUGGACGGAAAUCAGCUUAAGAGUGUAAAGGCAAAAGGGAGCUUGACUGCAAGACCUACAAGUCGAGCAGGGCGAAAGCCGGCCUUAGUGAUCCGACGGUACCACGUGGAAGGGCCGUCGCUCAACGGAUAAAAGUUA
rnacentral:rRNA from 1 species